rnacentral:lncRNA from 1 species
UUGCAGCAAAUGCCACCAUCAUCAUUGACACUGAGAGGAUUAAGAAUGUGAAGCCCAGCAUCAGCUUUUGAAUAAGAGAGUUCUUGAAGUCUCGAAAUCGAAACGAGGAGGUGAGAAUUGAGAGGAAUGUAACCACGGAGGUCAAAGCAAAAGUAAGUGUAAGUGAAUCAGACAGGGUGAAAAUCAUAAAGAAAGGUUGGUAGAGAAGGAGUGGGAAACCCGUGUUUUGAUUAGGCCCUCCUGGUAUGGUGUAGGCUGCAGCAAAUGCAACAGUGGCAAUGAGAACAGCAACAACUGUGCAGUUUUCUGAGGUGCGCUUUAGCCAAUCCGUGGCGCUCUUACGAAGUUUAGUGUUUGUUUCAGCAAAUAAUUCCUCAGGAGUGUGCUUCUGUUCGUUGAGGUGCUUAGUGAAAUAGUCUGCAGAGACUUCCUUCACCCUCUGCAAACACAAGUAAUUAUAUUUGCUCUUAGAUAUUUAAGUCAGCUUAGAUGGGAAUAAACAAACAGAACCGCAAUAUGAUGAUACAUUAAGUUUAAAAAUGAAGGCUAAGCUUUUGAGCCAAAAGCUUGAAUCAUCCAAAUUGAUAAGCAUCAAUGAAUUAGGGCAGCCAAAGCAUAUAUACCUCAAACAAUAUCAACUCCUUUUGCAAUUGAAGUGCAGGGCUUUGUAUCUUUUCAGGAACAUAAUCUGCUCUUUUUUUCCCAACCAUAUGAAGGAAUUCCCCUCAUCAUCUAGCUUUCUUACAAGGUUCCUUGCUAUGAAUUCAUUAUUCACCACCAGGUUGAAAAUCUUUAUUUGGCAAAAUGCAAUAUAUUCUUCCCUUUGCAAUUAAUGUGCUCAAAUGCUUGCGGGUGCACAGCAAAUAUUUCUUUGACAAUCUCUUGGAUGCCUGACCAGGUGGCCAAAAACAAUGGAAUUUCACCGGUCCUCAUAAUGGGAGUCAUGUCGUUUUCUGGAGAGCCAUCUACUUCUCCUUCUCCUCUGCUUUCAUUGAAGGGAGAUUUGCUACUUUCCUGGGACCGUCCUGUGAGGCCUUCUUUCUCUUCAUGUCCCGGGGAAAGCAAUGAAAUUGACGCAUUUCGUCUCCCUUUUUCAUCACUUGAGGGAGUUGAAGGACUAUAUGUGUGUGUUUUAGGCUUACUCCGGUUUUGUUGUGCUUUAGUAGCUUUCGAUGAAGUAUCUCUUUGUAUCAACAACUUAGCAAGUUUCACAGCUGAUUCAUAUCUAGCCUGCUCCUUCCUAACUGCUUCCAAAGCCGGCAAGCUCCAACAUGAUUUAACUUAAUUAUCAAGAAGCAUAAGUAAGUGAUCAUUCUUGGUAUAAUCAGAUUGGACUUUUUACCCAUACAUCAAACCAUUAUAGCACUACCAGCUAAUUAGCCUAAAAACUCAUGUUAUUAGGUUAUCAAUCAAACAAUAUAUAGCAACUUACACUAAAGUCUUUCACAUGAUCUCCUCUUAAAAAUGAAACUAUUGCAUCAUUUUAUGCUAGUAAUUAGCCUAAUAAGUUGAAACUAAUGUUAACAUGACACAUCUUAACAUGCUAUAAACUAGAAUCAUCUCUUCCAUCAAACUUUUUAACCUCAAAUUUCGCUGUCAUUCUAGGUCUAACCUUAACUCUAAUACCAAUAUGAAAAUAAUAAAAAACAAUAAUAGGGAUAAGAAAAUGGGAGAACAAAAAGGCUACAUGAAAACUAUUUUUUAAGAAAAAGAUUAUAAUCCUAGAACUCUCAAAAUCCAAAACUCCAAUUAUAUUAAAAAAAAAAAAAAAAAGAUUCCCUCUUUCAGUUAAUAAAACUUAAAAUAUCUUCUUAUAGUUCUCUUGGUUACAUCGGAAUAUUUUAUAUAUGAAACUAAUUAUCUAGUUUAAAAAAAUAUAUAUGAGAAAACAAUUGCUAUGUUUAGUUAAGAAAAACACCCAAAAGAGAGGGGGGGGUGAAUUGAGUUUUUAAAUUUUUUUCAAUCACAACAUAUUUAAACAAAAUAUAAGCAAAGUAAAGAGAUAGAGUUUAGAAAAUUCAAACUCGGGUUUAUAGUGGUUCGGCACUUUCUUGCCUACGUCCACUCUCCUCAACCUCCUAACCGAGUGAGGGUUCCACUAACUUGAAACUUCAACCAAGCUUCCAAUCUUCUUAUACUUGGAUUCCGACUCUAAUGGGCUCUUACACAACUUCUUCAAGAUUCAACCCUCUUGAAGGCUUUAAUACUCAGAUUGUUACAAGAUAUAAUCACUCAACCUACCUUAAAGAUGACUCAAAUACAAGACAAAACUAGGAUGACAAAUAAGAGUGCAUUAAAGGAUAUGCAAGUGGUGAUUUAAUGCACAAUGAAAGAAAUGAGAGCUUUUUGAUCAAGAACAGGUAGGUAGGCUUUGAAUGCAAGUGUUCUCUUUUCAAUAAAUGUAGUGGAGCUCUCAAUUUAUAGGUUUCUAAGCUCGGGAGUCAAAAACAGUAAAAGGCAACCUCGUCCGGUCGAGUUAGGGGUCGAUCGGUUCACUAGCCGUUGGAGCAUUUAAUGCAUAAUAGGUUACCGUUGCCUUAAUCAGACCUCGACAUGUACUCGACCGGACCUCGACUGGUAAGAGAAACACCUCGACCGGAAAGAAAAGGCUACUGGGAGAGAGAGAAGAUUUUUGACUUCUCUCAACCGGACGACCACAACCGGUUUACCGGUUCCUUAACCGGUUGGUCGGUUGGCCAUAGCCUCGAUCGGUUGAGCCUUUUUGGCCUCGAAAAACUUAUUUUUUGAUUCCUUUCUUUUCUAACACUUAGGCAAGGUCUUUAGAAAAAUUAUUAAGCUAAUUUUAAAACAUUUUGCCUAAGGUAAAUUAGUUAAAAACUCGGGUUUUAAUGAAAUCGACGUUUUAAAUAAUAAACCGAGUUUUCUAAGAUGCAUGAAACGUAUGAAAAUCCUAAGUGCACUCAUGCAUUCAUCUUACAUUAGUUUUCUAUGAUCAUAAGUCUUCCAAACGUCUCGAUCUUGUAUCCAUUUGAUCAUUUGAUGAAUUUUCGAGUUUAUACCUGAGAUUCUUAAACAUUAAACCAAUUAGUCACUUAACCAUGAUUUGUUAUCAUCAAAACCCGAUUAGGAGAACCCUUGAGCUAACAAUAUAUAUUAGUGUUAGAAAAUUAUAGGAUACUUUAUAAAAAGAGGAAAGUUUCUUAUAAGAAUAUAUCAUAAAAGGAAAAUAUCAUAGGCUUAGAAAUUGAUUUAGAGAAUUUGAAAUAUUUUCAAUAGAUUAGGUUGAAGCAUUUUCUUUUUCUCUAUUUAUUGAUUUAGUCUUGUCCGGGCUUGAAGAUAUGUCAAACAUUGAGUUAUUCUCUAACCCGUCGAUUUAGGAGGAAAAAGGGUAUGAAGGUAUGAAGAUUAAGGAAUAACUUGUGAAAGAGAAGCAGGGCUGAAGCUCAAGGAAUAAAGGUACCCUUAGGAAUAAAAGUACCCUUAGGAAUAACUAGUGAAAAACUUCCGCCGAGUUUAUCCCAUUUGGGAUGUGAACGGUUUGACUACAAAUAAAAUGACCCAACCUCAAGGCAGCUCCAUCUCUCACACCAACAAAUGUAAAAAACUGCAUCAUGAAGGGAUUUUACAAUGAAUCAUUAAUUCUGGUUCUGAGGUCCAAAAUAUGGAGAAGUGUGACAUUACCACACUGUUAAUAUACUCCUCUUAAUCCCUAUCGUAUGGGCAAUAAUCUUUAUAACAAGGAAUGAAAAAUCUUUUUCCCGUUACAUGAAUCUGGAUUUCAUUUUGUUGGGAAAAAAAAUGUUUCUAAGCAUUAUUUUUCCCCUCAAAAAUGACAUUGUACGUAUUGAUAAUAGCUAUAAAAAACAUAUAUUGAAUGACUAAUAGAGGAUAUCGCACUUAGCCGUUUAGUCGUGCAAGGACAAACACAUCAAUGGAUCAUGAUUUCACUCUAAACAUGCCAUGGCGGUUUUUUCCCUCACAAAUUGAAAACAAAUUAAUCACUACUCCAUGUGUAAAGUUCAACAAGGAGUUAUGAAAAGAUAACUACCAAACAAACGGAUCCAUCAAACCAGUGAAGUGCAUUUGGAUUGAGAUUUAUGGGGGGUUUAAUGGAGGAGCUCUUGGCCUGGACAUUGUUAUGCUUGAGCAACUUAAUAGUAAUCCAAGACCCGAGAAGAAUACAGUUACAGCUAGGACAAGCCUUAGCUAAAAGUUUCAAUGGAUAUCUGCAUGUUUCCAAGAGCGAUAAAUAUACAGGUGAAUAUGAAACAACAAAGAAGGUAACUGGGAGGAAUGCAACUGAAUAUAGCACAAUUUUUGUCCACCUUUCCUUAUUAUGUAUCAUAAGGACAAUAGUUGCGGCAAAUGCCACCAUCAUCAUUGACACUGAGAGGAUUAAGAAUGUGAAACCCAACAUCAGAUUUUGAGGAAAAAAGUGCUUGAAGUCUUGUAAUUGAAAUGAGGAGGUGAGAAUCGAGAGGAAUGUAGCCACUGAGGUCAGAGCAAAGGUAAGGGACAGGACAUCAGUUAAGGUGAAAACUAUGAAGAAAGGUUCAUGGAGGAGUGGAAAACCAGAGUCUUGAUUUGGUCCUCCUGAUAUGUAGGCUGCUGGGUGGAAAUGAGAACAACAACAAUGAUGCAGUUUUCAGAGGUGCGCUUUAGCAAUUCUGUGGCGUUGUUAUGAAGCUGAUCUGAUCAUAGGUUGUAGCAAAUAAUUCUUCAGCAAUAAGCUUCUUCUGGUUGAGGUGCUUGGUGAAAUAGGUUGUAGAAAUUUCUUUCACUCGCUGCACAUACAUUCACACUGUAUAUAUAAGAGCUAGCACUUUUGUAUUGGCAGUAUAUACAAGUAUAAAUUCAAAUAAGCUAUCUUUAAGGAUUUUUAUCAUAAUAUCAAUUCUUAUUUGGAUUGUUUUUUAAGGAGCUUUUUACUUCAAAAAAAUUUAAUAUGGAAAUUAUGAUGAAAUUAUUUCAUAUAAAAACUAUUUUUUAAUCUAUGCAUGAAUUUAUUGAAUGUUUACUAAUACAAUCAUCAUACCCAAAUUGUCCCUUGAAAUUAUGAUUUUAGCUUCAGUUCAGCUUUUAGUUAAAAGGAAAGGCCGAAAUCAAAACAAGGGAUCACAGAGGGUAAGUUUUGGAGCCUAUAGCUAGCUUGAACUUCCUCAACAUUAAAUGGAGAUGCUUUUAUACACGAAAGAGUGUGAGAUAAUGAAUUAAUAGGAUAUGAAAGUCUACCUCGAAUAAAAGCAAUUCCUUUUGCAAUUGAGGUGCUGGGCUUUGAAUCUUUUCCGCUGCAUAACCUGUUUUCUUCUUUUCCCCGCAUUGUCUGUCUUUGUUAUAUAUCAACCUUCUGGCAAGCAUUUCCUUUUUCACCACCAGCUCAAAAAUAUCUAUUUGCGGGUGCUUGAUCGCCACAUGCAGUAUGCUCCUGCCCCUGUUAUAAACAUGCUCAAUUGCCUGAGGGUGCAAAUUGUUGCCAAUAAUAAUGGAGUUUCGCCUGUCCUCAUCAGAGUUAUGUAACUUUGUGGAGAUGCAACUUCUUUCUCUUCAUCUUCUGGGCCUAUAUCUUCACUGAAGGAAGGUUUAUGAGUCUCAAGGGACCAUAUUGGGGAGUUUUCACCUUUCUCUUGACCCAGGGAAGGUGUUGAGAUUAGUUCAUAACGUCCUUCCUUUUCAUUGGAGAAUGGUUUGGUAUAAUGACCAUAUUUGUGGCUCUUAGGCUUACUCCGGUCCUUACGAGGAUCAGUAACCUUCCAGGAAGUAUCUUUCUGAUUAAAAACCUGGAGAGGUUUGUGGCUGAUUCUAGUCUGGUGUUCUCCUUCCUAACUGCUUCCAACAGGGGCAAUCCCCAAUAUGAUUGAACUUCUGUGUGAUGUAACGUUAGUAAAAGAAAUACUAGUUGCACUUGAAACAUACCAAAAUCAGAUAUAUAUGAGAUGGGUUUGCACACUUUGACUUGUGGCCCUUCAUCAUCUCUCUCCAUGGUCUUAUCUUUUUCUUUGAAGUUGGAGACACCUGUAAAGUGACAAAUCAGACUGGGAAGAGAAAAGAAGAUUCAGUUUGCCUUUUUCAUCCGUUAACAAAAUUUUCUCUAAAAGAUAAAUAUACUGUACAAGAGAAGAGGAGUCGGUGCAGGAAUUCAUAUUCACAUCCGCUUUUAAAUGCUGAUGAAUUGCAUGCCAGAAGUUUGAACGGCAGCCAUCUGAUAUAUGAGUUUUAUUGAAUUUAAAUUUAAUUUUAUUUUUUAGUUCAUUUUUUUCUUUUCUUUUCAUUGUAUAUUUUCUCUCUUUCGAGAAAACCGAAUAGGUUGCAGAAGCAAGAGCUUAUGCAAACUCGCAAAAGUGCUCAGCAAGGAUAGAAUACGAAGAAUGGUGGCUUCAUCUUUCCUCUGAAAAAACACUUUUCGGUCUUCUUCAUUAAGGCAUUCUUUAUCAACUACAUCAGCAAGAAACUUGAACAUCAUCUUUUUCCCAUAUUGAGCUGCCUGAAAGAGCGGCGUCUCACCAUAAUCGUUCUGCAUUCUGAGCAACUGUGAAGCUUUCUUCAAUGUUUCUCUAGCAGCAGGAAGGGUUCUGCUGGCUGUGGCUGCCUCGUGGAGUAUAGUGUUUCCAGCAUCAUUCUGAUGGGCGAGUUGGCUGAGAUGGGUCUCCGGCAAUUGUUCCAGUAAAUUCAGUUCUAGAUCAGAUUGUUUGGAGUAAGUAGCUAUGUGGAGGACUGUCUUUGUGUAUAGUCAUUACGUACAUGGCCCUUCUGGAAUAUUUUUGCAAGGUUGGAUCACCUCUUUCUCAUCUCCAUUCAUCAGAGCUUUGUAGAGAUCUCUGUGAAGCUCCUCUUUGGUACCUUCAUCUGCCAUGAAAGUGGAAACAGUAGAAGGGUUACUGGAAGAUGGGUGUUUAGGUACAAGCUAGUGGAGAAAGUUAAUGGGUGGAUAAGAUUCCUUUUCUCUUUAGUGGGGGAUCCGACUCUUCAUAUUACUUGAUAUUCCACCUCUCGUGUUAUUAGGUAUGGAUCUUAAGUUUACUAGAAAUUAUACUUCCAAUUAUUUGCUUUGUAAAGUUGAAUCCCAUAAAAAUUUGAUCAAGUUUAUAUUUGCUUUAGAUGUUACUUAGUCUAGAAAUCAAGAGAAAAUCAGUUUUAUUAUUACAUGCAAGUCUAUUCAAUUAAGAACAGAUUUUCAUCAUACAUACUUUCAAGAGUUAAAUAUCCCUUAAACUUCUGAACUUUUUGUAUUUUGCUUCCUCCCAUUUAAAAUCCAUCAAUUUAUUUAAAAAAAAUUGCUAAAUUGUGUUUGAAUGAUUUAUAUUUUUACUAACAUGAAUGAUUUAACAUUUCCUUGUAUUUAUAAGUUAAUUGACUAUGCAAAGAGAUAAUAAUACGUGAUAAAUCUUUCUUUAUUUUGCAAAUGUUUUUUUUUUCUUAUAGUGAAACUUAUCUUUCAGUUUUCUUAACAAUUAGAUAUUAAAAAGAUUCGUUCAUAUCCACAUGUAUGGCCAUACUUUUAUGGCCUUUUUGGCUUUAAAAUAUGGGGUGUUUGCCAUGUGCACGUGCCUUCUUCUAGCUUUACCUUUCUUGGUAUUCAUGCUUUUUAUUAUUGAGGGCCGGCUUGUCUAAAUGGUGCUUGCCUUUUCAUUAUUACUGAUUCUUCUUAGCAUGGUUAACAAAGUUAAAUGGUAAAUGGUGUCUGCCAUUUCCAAUAUUCAAGAUAUAUUUCUCUAUUAAUUUGUUAUUGUGGAUCAAAAGGUUUUGAUGCUAGAUCUAGGACAUGAAUGAUGUCUGUCUUUCAAGCUUUAGAGCUGUCUCUACCCCAUCUUAAAACUUCCGCCCUGGUGAUCUAUAAAAAUAAGGAAAAAAAAGAAGAAAAAAACAAAGAUCAGCAAGUCAAAUUAAUUUCAAAAAAUGUUGGUAUUUAUUAUUGGAGAUUUUGUAAGCAUCUUUCUUCCUAUGUUUGUUGUAUUAUGAUAUAUACUUGAUUCUUCAGUUCAAGGUGUUCCCUUUAAACAAACCGCUACUUCAAUGCCACCUUGGUCUUGCCAGUUCUAUUUAUGUCAUAGAAACAAUAUUCAAGAAAAAGAAAUAAACAACAAACAAAUCAAAUCGUCUUUUAGUUUUUUAAGUUAUUGUUUUAUAUUUGAUUUUUCAUUGGACUUCUGAUGAUAAAUUAAAUAAAAAAUUGAGAUUAAUUCUUUCUUAUUUUUGUUUGCAUAUGUGGCGAAUUUAAGGAGACCACGUGGCCAGGAGAUGCCCUAUCACUUCCACUCAAAUGUAUUCAAAUUUAAAACUCUCUGCAUAUGUAGAAAGGCAAUACAGAUCAUUAGUUCACUUUAAACAAGCUAAUUAAAUUCAAUAUAUGCAGUUUUUUUGUUCUUGUUACAGGCAAACUGAAGAAUAUUUGUGUAAAACAUGGACAAGGAUUAAUGAAAAUACAACCAAAUGAGACGAUCAUUUCUUCUUUCAAACCGGAGUACGGUUGGGAUGAGAUUUAUGGGGUUUAAUGGAGGAGCUGUCCCCUCGGAUACUAUUAUCCUCGAACGACUUAUUGUUUAUCCAAGGUUGAAGAGGAAAACAAUUACACCUAGGACAAGCCUUCAGUAUGAGCUUGAGGGGGUAUUUGCAGGCUUCCAAGAGGGAUAGGUAUAGAGGUGAAUAUGAGAUAGCAAAGAGGGUAACUGGCAGGAAUGCAACUGAGUAUAGCACAAUUUUUGUCCACCUUUCCUUAUUACGUAUCAUGAGGACUAUUGUUGCAGCAAAUGCCACCAUCAUCAUUGAGACUGAGAGGAUUAAGAAUGUGAAGCCCAGCAUGAGCUUUUGAGGAAGAGAGUUCUUGAAGUCUUGUAAUCGAAAUGAGGAGGUGAGGAUUGAGAGGAAUGUGACCACUGAGGUCAAAGCAAAAGUAAGGGAAAUGACGUCGGUCAAGGUGAAAAUCACAAAGAAAGGUUGGGAGAGGAGGAGAGGUAAACCCGUGCUUUGAUUUGGUCCUCCUGGUAUGGUGUAGGCUGCAGCAAAUGCUACGGUGGCGAUGAGAACGGCAACAAUGGUGCAGUUUUCAGAAGUGCGCUUUAGCCAAUCUGUGGCACUGUUAUGAAGAUCGGAAUAGGUUUUAGCGAAUAGUUCCUCUGGAGUCUGCUUAUUUUCGUUGAGGUGUUUGAUGAAAUAGGUUUUGGAGACUUCCUUCACUCGCUGCACACAUAAUUAAUCUUAUAAAUUUUAGGCUCCUAAACAUAUUUUUGUUUUAUUAAACAUCAUAGAAGAGUUUUCAAAAACUGAAAACUAUUUUCAAGUAUUAUUUUUCAAAACUGUUUUUGAAAAUACUUCUUAAAUAGAGCCUAAGUUUUGAACCCAAUGUAUUUUUGAAGCUUUCAAAUUGAUAAUGCCAUUAAGAAGUAUGUGUGCAAAAGCAGGGUUGAAUAGGAUAAUGGAAGCACACCUCAAACAAGAGCAACUCCUUUUGCAAUUGGAGAGCAGGGCUUUGUAUCUUCUCAGCUAUGUAACCUGAUCUUUUCUUCCCAACCAUAUGAAGUAUGGAGUUUCCCCAUUCGUCAGUCUUUCUUACUAGCCUCCUCGCUAGCAUUUCAUUAUUCACCACCAGAUUGAAGAUCUCUAUUUGGCGGUACUUGACGGCAACAUGCAAAAUGUUCUUCCCUCUGUUAUUAAUAUGCUCAAUAGCCUGUGGGUGCACAUCUAGUAUUUGUUCGACAAUCUCUCGAAUGCCUGACAUUGUGGCCAAAAACAAAGGAGUUUCCCCGGUCUUUAUGAUGGGAGUUGUGUAAUCUUCCUCUUCUCCUCCUCCUCCUUCUCUUUCAGUAAAAGAUGAUUUCUUACUUUCCUGGGACUGUCCUUGGGGGGUUUCUUUCUCUUCAUUACCUACGGANNNNNNNNNNNNNNNNNNNNNNNNNNNNNNNNNNNNNNNNNNNNNNNNNNNNNNNNNNNNNNNNNNNNNNNNNNNNNNNNNNNNNNNNNNNNNNNNNNNNAGGUGAAAUCACAAAGAAAAGGUUGGGAGAGGAGGAGAGGUAAACCCGUGCUUUGAUUUGGUCCUCCUGGUAUGGUGUAGGCUGCAGCAAAUGCUACGGUGGCGAUGAGAACGGCAACAAUGGUGCAGUUUUCAGAAGUGCGCUUUAGCCAAUCUGUGGCACUGUUAUGAAGAUCGGAAUAGGUUUUAGCGAAUAGUUCCUCUGGAGUCUGCUUAUUUUCGUUGAGGUGUUUGAUGAAAUAGGUUUUGGAGACUUCCUUCACUCGCUGCACACAUAAUUAAUCUUAUAAAUUUUAGGCUCCUAAACAUAUUUUUGUUUUAUUAAACAUCAUAGAAGAGUUUUCAAAAACUGAAAACUAUUUUCAAGUAUUAUUUUUCAAAACUGUUUUUGAAAAUACUUCUUAAAUAGAGCCUAAGUUUUGAAGCCAAUGUAUUUUUGAAGCUUUCAAAUUGAUAAUGCCAUUAAGAAGUAUGUGUGCAAAAGCAGGGAUGAAUAGGAUAAUGGAAGCGCACCUCAAACAAGAGCAACUCCUUUUGCAAUUGGAGAGCAGGGCUUUGUAUCUUCUCAGCUAUGUAACCUGAUCUUUUCUUCCCAACCAUAUGAAGUAUGGAGUUCCCCCAUUCGUCAGUCUUUCUUACUAGCCUCCUCGCUAGCAUUUCAUUAUUCACCACCAGAUUGAAGAUCUCUAUUUGGCGGUACUUGACGGCAACAUGCAAAAUGUUCUUCCCUCUGUUAUUAAUAUGCUCAAUAGCCUGUGGGUGCACAUCUAGUAUUUGUUCGACAAUCUCUCGAAUGCCUGACAUUGUGGCCAAAAACAAAGGAGUUUCCCCGGUCUUUAUGAUGGGAGUUGUGUAAUCUUCCUCUUCUCCUCCUCCUCCUUCUCUUUCAGUAAAAGAUGAUUUCUUACUUUCCUGGGACUGUCCUUGGGGGGUUUCUUUCUCUUCAUUACCUACGGACAGGGAUUGCAAUCCAUCUCGUCCCAAUCCUUUCUCGUUUAAGGAAGUUCUGGGACCAUAUCUGUGAGUUCUAGGCUUACUGCGGUCCUCUCGUGGAUUAGUGAGCUUCCAUGAAGUGUCAUUUGGAAUCAACAACUCAGCAAGUUUGGCAGCUGAUUCGUAUCUAGCCUUCUCUUUCCUAACUGCUUCCAAUAUGGGCGAUCUCCAACAUGAU